UCCUGCUUAUCACCUUCUUGAAGGCUUCCCAUUCAUUCAGGAACCGCCUUCUGGUGAUUUGCAAGAACGCGUACUUAUUCGCCACCAUGAUUAUGACCAGUGUUUCCAGUCCGUUCAGUUGUUGCAGUGGAAUAGUCAGGUUAAAUUUAAUGUGACCGUUUAUCGCAAUCUGCCGACCACUCGCGAUUCAAUCAUGACUUCGUGAUAAAAGAUUGAGUGUGAGGUUAUAACGCCGAAGCGGUAAAAAUUUUAAUUUUUGCCGCUGAGGGGUUGACCAAGCGAAGCGCGGUAGGUUUUCUGCUUAGGAGUUUAAUCAUGUUUCAGACUUUUAUUUCUCGCCAUAAUUCAAACUUUUU
rnacentral:rRNA from 1 species